rnacentral:rRNA from 1 species
UGGAUUAGGCAUGCAAGUCGAACGGGAUCCUUCGGGAUCCAGUGGCGGAAGGGUGAGUAACACGUGAAGCAACCCGCCCCCAAGGCCGGAACAAGCGCUGGAAACGGCGUCUGAAACCGGAUAGAGGACCCCCACCGCAUGGCGGGGCGUCCAAAUAUUCAUACCCUGGGGAUGGGCUCGCGGCCCAUUAGCUUGUCGGCGGGGCGACGGCCCACCGAGGCGACGACGGGUAGGUGGUCUGAGAGGAUGGUCACCCACACUGGGACUGAGACACUGCCCAGACUCCUGCGGGAGGACUGCAGUCGAGUAAUCUUCCGCAAUGGGCGCAAGCCCUGACGGAGCGAUGCCGCGUGAGGGACGGAGGCCUUCGGGUCGCGAACCUCUGUCGCCCGGGACGAUGAUGACGGUACCGGGAAAGGAAGCCACGGCUUAACCACGUGCCAGCCGCUGC